rnacentral:misc_RNA from 1 species
UCCGGUUUGUCACCGGCAGUCUCCCUAGAGUGCCCUUGCGUAGCAACUAGGGACAAGGAUUGCGCUCGUUGCGGGACUUAACCCAACAUCUCACGACACGAGCUGACGACAGCCAUGCAGCACCUGUGUGCAAGUCUCUUGCGAGAAGGAACCCGUCUCCGGGAACCGUCCUGCCAUGUCAAGGGCUGGUAAGGUUCUGCGCGUUGCUUCGAAUUGAACCACAUGCUCCACCGCUUGUGCGGGCCCCCGUCAAUUUCUUUGAGUUUUAGCCUUGCGGCCGUACUCCCCAGGCGGGGCACUUAAUGCGUUAGCUACGGCACGGAAUCCGUCGAUAGAACCCCACACCUAGUGCCCAACGUUUACGGCGUGGACUAC